rnacentral:rRNA from 1 species
UGCCUUACACAUGCAAGUCGAACGGCAGCACGGGGGCAACCCUGGUGGCGAGUGGCGAACGGGUGAGUAAUACAUCGGAACGUGUCCAGUUGUGGGGGAUAACCAGUCGAAAGAUUGGCUAAUACCGCAUGCGCCCGAAAGGGGAAAGCGAGGGAUCCAAGGGAAACUGAGGACCUCGCGCGAUUGGAGCGGCCGAUGUCCGAUUAGCUAGUUGGUGAGGUAACGGCUCACCAAGGCGACGAUCGGUAGCUGGUCUGAGAGGACGACCAGCCGCACUGGGACUGAGACACGGCCCAGACUCCUACGGGAGGCAGCAGUGGGGAAUUUUGGACAAUGGGCGCAAGCCUGAUCCUACCAUGCCGCGUGUGUGAUGAAGGCCUUCGGGUUAUAACCAU